UACAUCUAUAAAUGUAGCGAAAUAUUUGAAGUGAAACCUCAUAUACAUUGAUUUUGUUAACAUGGCGAAAAAUUCUUUCACUUUCUCUCAUUUUGGUUUUAUUUUGGUGGUGGUUUUGAUCACUAACUAUUAUGGAGGAGUUGUAGCCGAAGGCAGACAAGUAUGUGAUGGCAACAUUUUGGGACGAAUAACUGUUCGUGGCGAAUGUAGGAACUGUGUUGCUCCCUGCAGAGACCGCUUCAACAACGUUGUUAGGAUUCAAUGUGCCCCUCUUCCGUUCAAUCAAAUCGAGUGCUUCUGUUGUGGUCCUGUGACGACUCAUGAAUCGUUAGAAACGUCUUAAGUGAGACCAAGCGAUUUAUCAAGCCAAGAUCUUAAAUUUGUAUCGUAUAAAAUAAGAACGAUUGUGGAAAUCGUUAGUCAAGUCCAUCUAUGUAAUUCCUCUGUUAUCGUUUGUCAAGAAUAUAACAAAAGAUCUUAAACUUGCAUUCA